rnacentral:lncRNA from 1 species
AUGAUACAUAAACUAUUAACUAAAAAAUAUUAAAUUAAAUAAAAAAUAGUUACAAAAAAUAAAAACGCUAAUUUUAACGACGCUAACGUUUCCAACUAAACCGUAAACCCUAAAUCUUAAAUUCUAAACUCUAUACCAUAAAUUCUAAACCCAAAUACAAACUCCUAAACUCAAACCAUAUACCCUAACCCUAAUCCUAGACCAUAAACCUAAAUUAUAUACCCUAAACCCAAAAACUAGACUAUAAACAUAAACUCUAUAUCCUAAACUCAAGUCCUAGACCCUAAAUCCAAACCGUAAAUCUUAAACCCAAAUUAUAUAUUCUAAACCCAAAACCUUAAUCCUAAACCCAAACCGUAAAUCCUAAACCCAA